rnacentral:tRNA from 2 species
GCCGAAAUGGUGGAACUGGUAGACACAAGGGACUUAAAAUCCCUUGACUGCAAAGUCGUGCGGGUUCGAUUCCCGCUUUCGGCA